rnacentral:lncRNA from 1 species
GGAGGUCAGAGCUCGGCGGGGUGCGGCUAGUGGCGGAGCGCGCUGCGAGGGAGGGCUUUCCACUGUCGCUGGCGUGAACUCGCGUGCCCGGCUUCACCAGGUACUGCCUUCUAACUUGAGUUGGCCAUUUCCACAUGUCAGAUAGGACCAACUUGCCUUUUAACUACCCGUGUGAUACUUAAACACUGUUGCCGGUAUCACAGCUUUUCUUCAAAACAGGGCAGUCAGUGAAGGCUCCCCAGGGGAGAUGACGUUUGAGCCGAGUUUCAGAAGAUGAUUGGAGUUUACCACGUGUUCACAGGAAGCAACGAGAAUGAGGGCAUUCCAGUAGCAGGAGACAGCAUGCAUAGAGAUGCUGAUGAAGAAAGAGCCUAGCGCACGUGGGAAACUGCAAAAGUUCAGACUGGUUGGAAUGCUGGAAAUGUUGUGAAUGACAGGAGAUGAGGCUGGUGAGAAAACAGAGGUCAGAUUGUGGAAGGCUGUCAGGCCAAAGACUUUGAUUUUAUUCUUGAGAUUGAUGAGAUGUGUGUAAUCCAGGAGUGUGCAAAACAAUCUGUAAGGGUUCAGAAAACAUACUGCUUCUAUAUAUAGUUACCUUUGUCUUAACUUG